rnacentral:rRNA from 1 species
UACGAAGGUGGCAAGCGUUGUCCGGAAUCACUGGGCGUAAAGGGUGCGCAGGCGGAUUUUUAAGUCAGGGGUGAAAUCCCGAGGCUUAACCUCAGAACUGCAUUUGAUACUGGGGAUCUUGAGUCCGGAAGAGGUGAGUGGAACUGCGAGUGUAGAGGUGAAAUUCGUAGAUAUUCGCAAGAACACCGGUGGCGAAGGCGGCUCACUGGUCCGGAACUGACGCUGAGGCACGAAAGCGUGGGGAGCAAACAGG